UGCAUACAUGAUUGUAAGUCGCUUUGGAUAAAAGCAUCUACUAAAUGGCAUAUA
rfam:Salmo salar isolate Sally breed double haploid chromosome ssa15, whole genome shotgun sequence.